AGUGAGCGGCAAAGCUCAAAUUUGAAAUCGGGUUCCUUCACGGGCCGUAGAUUGCUUGUUGGAGUCUUUGUGGAAGCGUGUGUCUGACUCUCUUCCUACGAGCUGCCCUUGAUGGUGAGAGCCCCGUGAGACGCGCGCGGAAGCUGUAACGCCCUUCUAACUAUUCGAGUUGUUUGGGAAUGCAGCUCUGCGUGGGUGGUAAAUUCCAUCUAAGGCUAAAUAUUGGCGAGAGACCGAUAGCCCACAAGUACUGUGAAGGAAAGAUGAAAAGCACUUUGAAAAGAGAGUGAAACAGCACGUGAAAUUGUUGAAAGGGAAGGGUAUUGGGCUCUACAUGGGAUUUGCGCACCGCUGCUCCUUGUGGGCGGCUCUCUGGGCUUUUCCUGGG
rnacentral:rRNA from 1 species